GUGCCAGCCGCCGCGGUAAUACAGAGGGUGCGAGCGUUAAUCGGAAUUACUGGGCGUAAAGGGCGCGUAGGCGGUUUAAUAGGUGUGAUGUGAAAGCCCUGGGCUUAACCUAGGAAGUGCAUCGCAAACGAUUGAACUGGAGUAGAUGAGAGGGUGGCGGAAUUUCCGGUGUAGCGGUGAAAUGCGUAGAGAUCGGAAGGAACGUCGAUGGCGAAGGCAGCCACCUGGCAUCAUACUGACGCUGAGGCGCGAAAGCGUGGGGAGCGAACAGGAUUAGAUACCCUGGUAGUCC
rnacentral:rRNA from 1 species